rnacentral:misc_RNA from 1 species
CUGUUCGAGCGUCAUUUCAACCCUCAAGCACUGCUUGGUAUUGGGUGCCACCGCUAGAGGUGCACCCCAAAAUUAGUGGCGGGGCUGCUCGGCUUUCAGCGUAGUAAACUCCUCGCUGUGGAAACGAGUAGGCCCUAUGCUAGACCCUAAAAUUUUCAUAGGUUGACCUCGGAUCAGGUAGGGAUACCCGCUGAACUUAA